CUGAGCGUUUUGAGCGCAUGCACCACCUCCUCCUGACUCUCCCCGCACCCCAACAUGAUGCUGCUCUUGGUCACCUACUCGGCGGCGGCGGCGGCGGCGGGGGAGACGGGGGGUAAGGCAAUUGUCGUGUAAGAAGAAGCAGGGGAUGGAGAAGUUCAUGUGUGUGCGUGUGUGUUUUAGCUAGGGGGGAAAUGAACGACAGGCGAGCGAAGCUGAUGGCGAGUGCGGCUGAACGGGGUGGGGAUGUGUUCAUGUGUUUGGGGGCAGGGGAAUUCAUAGGAUGCAAGGAAACCAGAAAUGAACUGUCGGCGUCCAGAGGACAGGGGAAAAGGGAGGGGAAAAGGGAGAGGAAGUGAGGGGAAAAUUCACACGGCAGCCACACGUCACAUCACAAAACCAUUCUAUCCGUGUCGGGUGGGCAACAGCAACCUGUGUGCCGGUCGUGUGCGCCUCCAAUACCCGUGUGCACACCCUGCAUCUGAAAUCGGGAUUCACCCCGACCCCUCCUACCCCUAGGGGCCCCCUAGGGACAUACACACGCAUGGCAUCAUACACACAUCAACAACGCAAAACGCACAGGGCACCGUACACAUCGUACGUGUACACACAUACGCACGUAUCAUACACACACAUACGCAAGCUCGCCUGCGCCCCGAGCUCCUUGGCCCGUUGAAGCGUCCGAAGGCUUUGGGACCAGCCCGCGCGCCGGUCCCGUACGACACCCUGUACGACCAAAGACACGGCGUUUUAGGAUGCGCAAGGAAAGUACUCGUGAGGUGCAUGUAUGUCUGUAUGUAUGUAUGUAUGCCUGUAUGUAUGCCUGUAUGUAUGCCUGUAUGUAUGUCUAUGUCUGUUACGUGGAGGCGACUAGACCCGAGACGUUACCUGAUUAGAGGAAUGUGGUGCUGGUAGUUCCGACUCCCAACUCCCAACUGUCACCUACC
rnacentral:lncRNA from 1 species